AAUGGAGAAAAUAUGAGAAGUAUGCAAAAGUUUAUCUCAGACUAUUUCUAUGCUUCAAUAAGUGCUCAAAAAUGUGCUGCGUUAGACACCAAAGUCAAUACAGAUAUUCAGUGUUUUUGGCAUUUGAUUAGAUAUCCAUUUGCUCCCUAUUUUCCUUUUAAGAAGGAAUAGAAAUACCCACUGAAUAGCUAUUCAAAACUCCAAGUCCAUUAAAUAGGCUGAGUUGACAACCGAAGCGUAUAUCUGAAGACUUAAAUAAGACCACAGGUAGUGUUUUGUCCAGAAAUAAUCAAGCUAGCAAGUUUGAUGAUUCAGAAAAAAAGAAUGAAUAUUAAUCAUAAUUUUGAAUAUUUUGUAUUAUGUACUUGGAUCUUUUUGGUACGAUUUCAAUUUACACUUUACAUUUUGAGUGCUGAAAAAUGAUUAAGACAAACGAUAAAUGAUACACUGGAAAUUAAACAUACUAUUCCAAUGUCUUAGAAAGUGGGCAACACUUUCUAUGCUGUAGUUAUGUAAAAGGCUAAGCCUGUUAGUGAACUUUCUGUUGGAAAAAAGAUCUAAUUUUCUAAGUUGUCAUUCUGACUAAUCGCAACAGCACUCUCCUCACGGACAAAGGGUUCUGAUUAAGAAAUAUGAAGUUCUGACUACACGUCCAAAUGUUAAAUGAAACGUUUGCAAUGAACAUGUUGCAUUCAAAUAAGAAAUAUUAAAAAAAAAAAAAAAAAAGAACAAAAUCCACCUAAAUGAGAUUUUUUUUUUUUUUAUUUACAUUCAGGAUAUAUUGGAAUUUUUUGCCUAAGAUUCUGCAUAUACUUUUUAUAUAUAGACAUGCUAUGUGUAGAUGUGCAUCCUACAGAAUAGCCAUCAUCAUGUAGGAAGAAUGAAUAGCUUGACCUUCAGUUAAGCUACAGUCUUUGAUUUCAGAGUUCCAGGUCAGGCUGGUAUCAGAUUCUCCGUGAAAGAUCGUUGGUUACUUGAGGAUACGUGGGGUUAUCAGAGAACGAAAAAAUGUUUGAAACCUUAAAAUAAUUUCCUGAUAGGAAAAAAAAGGUAUUUCACCCUCUCUUCCUUACAUAACAGCCGGUUUGCAAAGGACUAAAAGAAGGCUUUAUGAAACUGCUGUAGCCAUCUUUUUCCUAUUGGUGAGCAGAGACUUGAACAAUUUGUUGAAGUCUAUGAGAAACAAAUGGGUAAUAAGGAUUUCACAGCCAGGUCAUUUUUUAUUUAUUCUGUUCUACAGCACCGCAUGCAGAGUCGCGAAGUGCUAACCUAGCUAUUCUCAGAAGUUGUUCAAAAUCCGAUGGACUAAAAAUAUUCCGUCUGCCAAGCACUCAAGGUGAUUUGAAAAGGCUCGGAUGCUUUUGCUUUGGGCCACAGGCUGCAGAUAAAUUAAGAGGCGUCAGGGCUUUUUUAAUUUAAAUCUCUUUCUUCUCCUCCAGCCCUAUUAAUAAUGAACCAAAUCCACAACAGUGAAGGAGAAGCCUGCUUGCUGGCUAACGCUCUGUUUGUAAGAUGGUGUCUGCAUCUCCCCACGGUGCUAAAAUUCAUUUCAAGUUACACUUUAGUAAUUGAUGAUCACUUGCUGUAUCCCCUUAUAAAGCUUUUUUAUCAAUGUCUUUGGCGGCUCAUUUUAUAUCAGCAGCAAAUCAAUGAAAUUUUAAUGGAACAGAGCUCUCUACUUGAGGCUGAAUUAAUGUUGCUUUACCUAUUUCAAUAUCAAGUGAAGUUCUCAAAGUCUGGAAGGAUAACUCUUUCUCUGAUAACUCCAGACUGACAGAAUAAAGCUGGUGAAGUAGGAAAUGCAAGUAGGAAAUGCAUGACAGCACGCUGAAUUGCCUUGGCUUAUGGGUCUCCAUCCACUGAAGAGGACUUGCCCAGUUUGGACUGUAGAAAUGGGGAGGACAGUAAGGAAGCACGCUGCCAUGCUGCCUUUAAAGCUGAAGGAAAGAGCCCGUUCUCCAGCAACAUUCAGUGUUAGGUGAGGUGUGUCUUUUGUUUUUACUCUUGAUUUAGCUUCCCACCGUUGCCAAGGUAGUUGUGCUGCUGUUUAGGAAAGCUAUUGCGUGGUGUUUGAAACAAGAAAACCCAUGUGUUGCGUGCUUGUUGGUUUUAACUGCUUGGUGGGGAUUUGUUCAAGAGUGAACUUUAGCUUAUUCGUAGAAUCAUGGAAGGUUGGAAAAGACCAUUAAGAUCAUCAAAUCCAACCAUUCACCCAUCACUACCAUGCCAACUAAGCCAUGUUGUUUGUGCACAUUGAUGGCAUCUAUGGAAUUUCUCCUUCCUUAAGCAAAAGUGAUUGCAAGCUGCCCCCAGAGCUGCUUCUGGAGAGCCAUGGAAGCCCCUUCAAAAGUCAGCUUGCCUAUUUUUUGGUGAAGAUCCUGGAGAAUUUUGCCUUCUUUAAGUUUAAUGUUUUGUAGUGACUGCUGUUGCAUGUCUGAUAAAACAUAGCUGCUAUGAUUUCUGUAACAGUUGCAGAUACAACUGAGAAAGUAUUAGAAGAGAUAGUUAAAAAAAAAAAAAAAAUGUCAAUUUCUAACCAAAGAAGGUAAGGAAACAAUUUGUCACCAUUGACAACAGGAAAAUGAAUAAAUAUUGCAAUAGAUAUAUAUCUACUCAACAAAUUUAUAUUAGUAUCAGAGCGACAUCCUGUCUCAGGAAGGGUAGUAGACCAAUGUUAUUAACUUCCUUGAUGGAGAUCUUUCAUUUCAGGCCGUGAAUUUGUGGUGUGACAUCACUGUCUUCUUUGUAGUUUUGCUUGUGAUCUUCUAUUUCCUAAAGAAGUAUGCAAAUUAUUACAUUAUACUGUGUUUUAAAGUAUUAAAUGGUUGUAAUUUUCAUAUUUGCAUGUUCUGAGCUGGGCUUCUGAAUUCACCUUUUGGCACUGAGAUAGAAGUGACUAAGCUGAGAAGUCUUGGAUAUUCUAUGUAAAUUAAUGCAUAGAGUAGAUAUCUGUCAUUCUGGGAAAGUUAGGAUACAGUGUAGUUGCAAAGACUCAGAAAAUGUGGAGCGUAUGUUGAGUCACGUAAAGCUUGGGCAUUUAUUGUUAAUUUUUUUAUACACACAUCAUGAGAGUCCCUCAUCAGUAGUAAUUGUAAGGCUUUAAAAGGGACAAGUGGAUCAUAUUUUCUGGAAGAACUUAACAGCGAAUUGUAGCAAAACAGCCUAUGAAAUGUUUCAGGGUCCAUGCUCAUUUCUUCUUCAGUUUGCUGACUGCAGGAUCCUCUGCUUCUUUUUAAAGACCUCUGUCAUCCCUUUCUGGACUCUCCCGCUUUUUUGCUUUUCUUUUCUUUUUUCGAUCUCUUUUAUCCCCUCCCCCCCUAGCUUAAAAAGCAGAAGUGUUUGCCAGUAAGUUGUAGUCACUUGAGUGCACUGUUAACAUGUGCUUGAAACCUCUGACAACCACGCCAGAAUUGUUCAGAACUCUUUAUUGUAGAAAAAGUAGGGAAGAAAAACACUCAGACAAACAAUUUAAUUAAGCAAAGGAAAGCAAUUUCAGGCGAGCUGAAUUCUUUGUUUUUAUACUGAAUAGUACUGAACUCUUGAAAUUUAAGAAUAGCUCUAUGUUUCCUCUUCUGCUGUCCUCUAAGGCUCUCAUAAGCUCUUGAUAAGAACUAGUUCUGAACUGAGUGCUAUAAUAAUGCUCUUCCAGUGCCCACCUGACCCAAAACUCCUGGAAGUCUGUGCAUGUCUUCUUUUAAUUUUCCAAUGUAUUCAAUGUCUGCUAGAACAAGAUGCAUAAAGGAUGAGGAACAAGAUCUUUCUGUGAAUAAAUCUGAUGAACCCCAAGGACUUGAAUUCCUUGAAAAAAUUUCAGAGGAGUGUCUGAACACCUGUGCUUCCUAUUAAAUCUUACGAAUGUUCUGAGAAUCUGAGCCAAUCUGUAAUGAUACUGUCCUUAUGUAUUUUCUAAUCUGUCCUGCUACUCUGGAUGAUAAGCCCUCUAAUAACUCUUUGGAGUACAUCAAAAUGUCAUUUUGUGCAGAAUGCCUGCUCUUUUCCCUCUAGAUCCUAGCUUAAAAAUGAGUGUUGUGUCACAGAAGAUCAUUUUGGAUUACAGAACAACUUCUCAAAAUGUCAGCAGUAAAUAGUCUGCAAAUCCCUCAUUAUCAAUAAUACAGCACUGAUAUUCAGUAAAAAGCCAUUUUGUAAAACUUUCAAGUCUGUAUCCUAACAAACCUUUUAGCUAGUAGCAAUCCCCCCAGCAUCAAGCAGGUUUAAUGCAAAAGAGAUCUGUUGUUUUUUUCCCUAGAGAACUCAAGUGAAGGUUUUAUAAACUUUUGGACAAGGGACUUGGAUUUCAAUACUGUUUUAAAUGAAACCAUUUAAGGAUGUUUUUAGUUCUUCAUCUUUACUCAUUGUAAGAAAUAAUAAUAAUAAAAAAUCCAUCAGUACGUGCUCAGAAACUAUUUUUUUUAUAAGAGUACAUUACUGUUUAUGAAAUUAUUUUUGUGCACUCAAUACUGACUUGGAUGUCACUAAAUUAAUGUUGUUGAGAGUGUGAGUCUCUGACUUGUGUUUGGUUUCCUUAUUCAUUUACACACCUUUCUUAAAAGCUUUCUUUCUUGUAUGAAGUAAAAGAGUCAGCGUUCUAAUGUUACUUGUGUGGAAACUGUAAUGCAAUAGGUAUAAAGCUAUUAUUUUUUCCAUGCGUAUCAACUUGAAAACUCUCACUGAUUGCAUUGGUAGAGAGUUAGGUCUGUAUGAGGAGCAGAGAAGAAAGGUCAGUGGGAAAAAAAUACAAUGAAAUCUUAAACCUUCAGAAAAAAAUGUGGUGAUGUUCAAAACAGUGAACGUGGUGAUAAGCACUGGUAUUAGGUUGAAGACUUCAAGAUUCUUUAUCUGCAUUGCUGGGCUUCCAGCACCAUGUUACUGUACAUUUCGCCUUGUUUAUGUAGAUUUUAAGGCUGGGAGGAUGAACUUGACUCUGUUUUUGACUUACCUGAAGAGGUUUUCUGACAGGAAAACUGUUAGGUAGCUGUGUACUGGGAACCCUUUUAAUAUAGAACCGUUCAUCUUAUAUUAACUUCUGUAAGCCAUCAGCCUGAAAUGAGCUGUCCUUGAACAAAUGAGUCACAAGGGCUGGUCUAGAUAUCUGAUUGCCAGCUGCUAGCCAGUCAAUCGUAUAUGAAGUGUUAGGAGAGCUCAUAAAACAUAGCUCACAAAAAAUUAAGCUCGCUAAGAGACAAGUGCAUCUGUACAUUUCUUUCUAAAAGAAUAACAAUGAAAAUUAUGUUGAAAAUGCAUCUGUUACACCUUAGAUAUCACUGCUGACAAACAUUCUUUCAGUAGCAUGCAAUGCUAGACCUUAAAAUAAAGAUGUUUCUGAAAGGAAAAAGCUAUUUUUUUAAAUCAAACUUGGCUAGCUUUGACUUCCAGAAAUGAUUCAGUAAAACAUACUGUCACAAAUAUAUGUCAAAGUCAUUGUCAAAUACCAAACUAUUUUAAAACCAGAUUGAUGAAUAGUAGUAGCUAAGCUUCAAACACAUGUUCAUUUUUAUAGUUAUUACUCAUAUGCUUGUGACCUCUAGUUAACUUCACUGGAGCCUGGAAUGCCUGCACAGAUUUUCUUUGUCACACUUCUGGUUCUCAAAAGUAUUUUAUGAUCCUUCCUCCAGCUUCUUUCCUCUUCUAAACUGCUCGUCGUGGGCAAUUAUUGAACUAUCGGGAUGUUGACAGGUAGCGGACUGUGAUUGGGCAGCUGCCACUGCAGCAGGAGUUGUGUGCACAGCACAGUUGAAUCUUGAAGCACAUUUGAGCAGGAGUACAGAUUGUAAUGGUACGUACUGCAGGGGUUUGCCUCGUUUAACACCUGAGAAGAAUUGGAAACAGCUGGAGCUGCAUUUUCUUGAACAACUCCAUCCAAAAGGGAGACAGAGUGCGAGCUCCAGAGAAUAAUCUAGACCAACUUAAAAAUGAAGGAAGCAGGAUGUUGUUAUAAAAAAUAAUGUUCAUGGGGCUGGAAGGUUAGAUGGUCACAACAGCCUCUGUGAAGUAAAAACAAAUUAAUGUACAUCAAACCCUUUCAUAUUCUAUGCCUUGGGUAUUAUGAUUGUAAAGAAUGUAAUCCUUAGCUUCAAUUCAUCCACUGCAGAGGAAUUUAGACCCUUUUCUUCCUUUGACAUUCCCUAUUCCUCUUGUUCUGCCAAAGUUCAGUCCUAUUCAGAAGACGAGCGUGCAGCUAGCAUAGUUUUGAAAAAGUACUGUUUCAAAACUCCUGAGUGCUGCAGAAAAGGACUUAAUAUACUGUGGAAACUGUGUUUCCACAACCUGUAGAAGCAUACAUCUGCACGUAGACUGGCAAUAAAAGUUUGAAAAAAUAUAUUUGCUUCGUGGUAGACUGCGUUCCAGUGAAGGUCCACCACAGCCAUAAAUUAAUGAUGGAGUACCUUCAAGCCGAACAGGAAAUAAUGUAAUACAGUCUUAGGUGACAAUAGUUUGCCUUACUGUAAUGUUACACAGAUAGCACAGCAACUUUUGUGGCAAUGUACGUGCUGCCCAAGGAAGAGAAAACCUCAUGAAAACAGAUGUAAAAAGAAGGCCUUCAGAAAACUAACUCUAUCAGAAGGUCAGCUCAGUUAACUUCCUUUUGAACCUGGUAUACAGAUUGUGAAAAUAGGAUUAUAGUCUGAACAGUCUUAUUCACACAGAUGUGUAUGACCUCUUGCACUCUGAGCAUUCAUGCAGCAAGCAGGUGGGAACGUAUUUGUCCUGUACUCCGAGACCUGGAGGCAGCAAGGGUAAUGCUGAGUCAGACACAUAAGUCCUGAAACGAGUAUAUGUUAACUCAGAUCUGACAUUCUGCAAAUCAUUAAGCAAAGCUCAUUAUUUUGGAUGCUUAGUGUGAUGAUCACUUGUAAUUCUAGCACCAACAAACUCCUGACGGGCCAAACGUCUGUGAAGGAACAAAGAGGAAAGUGAUCUUGUCAGAGUAGUUCCAUUUUACUAUCAUCACUUUCUCUUUUAAUGUACAUUAAUAUGCUAUGCUACUUUGUUUUGUUCAACUCAGAGAAUUCAACAGUGAUACUUAUUCUCAAAUCUCUGUCACCUGAUUUCUUGCAGGCUUUAGCCUUCUGAAAAAAUGGUUGUGUGUCACAAUAUUUAUUCAGUUGUUCAAGAGUUUUACUCACUAGGACAAGGUUCUUGAGUUGGGAUUGUCCUGCUCACACAGUCCUGGCAGUUUGGUAAGCUGCCGCUUCUAAAUUGGUAUUUUAUUGAACCUGGCUGAUGGGUGAACUUCUUCCCCACCUGUUCAUGGUAUAAAUAGAUCUUCCAGAACUAUAGUGACCAAGACUCCUUGCAACUUGCUUUAUUAUGUCAUCGUAUGAGAUAGGGAUCCCCUGCUGGCGUAUGCUGUCAAAAUUUGUCAAGUGUGCAUAACUCAAUGUGUAAUUAAACAUGAUCAGGUACAUUGCAUUCUGUUUUUUUCUGAACAUUCGCAAUUUAACCCCUGUCAGAGUUUGGCAGACACAUGACUGAAAAUGUUUUAGAUGAUGCUGAAGUUGGAGCAGGCACAGAAAGUCUUCCUUAGCUGGCGUGUUGCUGAGAAAGGUCUGAGUACUGAAAUGUCAGUGAAUUCAUUCUCUUAUUUGCUUUUCUACUAUGGGAGAUAAGUAGCUAGCACAUUAUUUUAAAAUAAGUACGUUAAUAGUAUUUUAUACUUUGUUGUGCAUGUGGUGUUCCGUGUUUGAAAUUAAAGCCAGAGAAUAAUAGAAAAAUUGACUUGUUUUGUAGAUGCAGCAUCUUUUCAUGAGCUAGAAUGAUUACAUCCACUUCCAAGAAGUGUAAGAACAGAGAGGGCUGAUCUUGGCAGACAGCGUUCAUAUGAUUUCUAUCUCAGUGCCUAUUUCAAAAACAGCCUUUGGUCGGGAGCAUACCACAGCCCAGCUUUUCAAAUGUGCUGAGUUGUUUUGCAUUGCCUUGUUUUGUUAGUUGGAGGCGUUUUGUAAGGUUUUGUAUUUCCUAGUGUUUUGUAGAACAGAUUCUUUCGAAGGAACUCAGGUGAAAAAUUGAGGUAUCUGAAAUCAUUAGUUGCUUUUGAACAAUCUUUCUUUCCUUGUUAUUUGAUCAAAUGCUUCUCAGCAAUUCCUGAUUAGAGCUUCUGAGGGAAAUUAAGGUCCAGAAUAUGAAGAUCAACAAGAAUGCUCAGCUGAUGGUCUCAGUUUUAAUGGAUAAUUUUACUGUAUUUAAAUAUGGCACACAAAUGAAAAUACCUUGGCCAGCUUAAUCAAAUAGAUGAUUUUUGAGAGAGCCUGGCUCCUGUCUGGCUCAGCACCAUCUUUUUGAGAAGAUACAGGGAUGUGCUGCCAAAAUAGUAAAUUCUGCUCCUGGUCCAACGAUGCAUAUAGAAGAGGCUGUUUAUGCAGGAUCAGAUAUGCAUUUGCCCACGGAAUAAAUAAAUGCUAAGAAAUACAUCAGCCCUGUUAGCUGACUUACCCUCAACUGGUUGUGGAAUAACUGGAGAAUGAGUGUGCCUAGAGCAUUGGUCUGCAGGUGAGAGGCACGAUGAGCACUGUUUUGCCCCACUUCAUUAGUAUACCUAUUGGCAGUAUCUACUCCCUUUAGUCUGGGCAUUCCAUAGGAAGCACUGGUACAAUGUAGAGACUUGCAGACUGAGAUGAAGUGGAAAGAAAAUCAAUCCCUGCUAGAAAAUCACUAGGCGGUAAUUCAUCCAGGAGUCAGGCUAAAGUUCCUGUCUGCUUUUCAUGAUUUGCUGCUUCUGCUUCUCCUCUCCUACAUUAUCACUGCAAAGAGGUCUCCUUUUAACUGUGUAAACUUUCAAGGUCUACAGAGAAGUUUUAUUAGGAAAACUUUCUUUUUUCUUUGUCAAGUCCAAGAGGGACAGAAAAUAUUACUUAUAUUACUUAUAUUACACCUUUUGAAUAUUUCACUAAAAAUUUGGAUGAGAAAGAGUUUCACAAUUCUGACUAUUGAAAAUAAUCAUGAAGACCAUUGAGAGGAGUGAUUAGCAAAGCAAGGGAGGUGAUUGUCCCUCUUUUCCUCUGUGCUUAUGAGUCCCCAUCUGGAGGAUUGCAUCCAGGCCUGGGGCCCCCAGCACAGAAGGGUUGUGGAGCUGUUGGGCUGGGUCCAGAGGAGAGAUACAGAGACGAUCAAUGGGCCGGAUCACCUCUUGUACAAAGAAAGGUUACAGGAGCUGGGGUUGUUUAGCUUGGAGAAGAGACUUCAUUGUGGCCUUCCAGUACUUGAAGGGAGCUUAUAAGCAAGAGAGGUACUGACUUUUUACAUGGUUUGAUAGUGAUAGGACAAGGUGUGAUGACUUUAAACUGAAAGAGGGGAGAUUUAGGUUAGAUGUAAGGAAGAAAUCUUUACUUAGAGGGCGGUGAGGCACUGGUGUAGGCUGCUCACAGAUUUUGUGGGUGUCCCAUCCCUGGAGGUGUUUAAGGAUGGGGCACCUGAUCUGGUGGGUGGCAACCCUACUUACAGCAGAGGGCUGGAACUAGAUGAUCUUUCCAGUCCCUUCCAACCUAAGCCAUUCUAUGGCUCUAUGAUUCUGUGAGAGCUGUCUUAAUACUUGAAUUUCAAUCUCUGCUAUCAAGUUCCUGCUUUAACAAUUAGCAGGCUUUUGAGUAUUUAGGAUAAAAGUUUUUCUUCCUCCCCUCUCUUCCAUUUCUUUACUUCUGUAUUAAGACAAGCUGAAUGUAUGUAAUCUAACUCUAAACUCAGCUUUCUGGCUGAGAUAUUAACAGUAGAUGAAGAAAACAGAUAGAUCUGUUGUUUGUGUUUCUGUGUUGUGGUUUUUGUUUCUUUUUUUCCCUUGAUGUAUUUUCUUCCACAGCCUUGAGCAAGAGAUUCCUAACUGAGAAAGACUGGGUUCAUUAAGUUAAUGAAGGAGCUAACUGGAGGAUGCUUAGCAAUACAGGGAGAAGAAAGUGCAUCUAUCUUGUAUUAUUAAGAUUUAUCAUGUGAUCAGAAGGCAGUUGUAUACAUUUGUGUGAUUGUUUACAUGUCUCAAGUGAGUAAUUACAGGGAUAGGGAAAACAAAAAGCUAUCUUAAAUGUGGGGAAUGUGUUCUUGUGAUACAGCACAGCACGGCCAAGGCUAAAUUACAGACAUAAUGGCUUAAAUAGUAUAGUCUUAUUAGUCACAUUCACCAAAUGCGAAAACGACACUGUUGUUCCCCAAAUACCUUUGGAGACAAAUUAUGGACAGUAUUGGCAUUUCCAUAAGAAAUGGACAGUAAAAAGUGUUUUGUUUUUCCUUUGGUAAGUAAUUAAAGAUGGACAAACCAUCAGUAGCACUUGAUUUCAUGGCUCUCGGAUGUAUGAUGUGAAUGUUCAUUGUGAAUCAGUACUUUGAAAAAGAUGCCUAGUGAAUACUUCUGUGUUUGGUUGGUGGGUUUGUUUACUACAUUCGCCUACAAAGCACUACACAGAUUUAAACUAUUAAUUUUGACUAUCAGGAAAUGUUUGAAUAAAACUCAACUUCUUUAAAUGGUUAAGAAGAAAGCUUAAAAAAAAAAAAAGGAAGUCAGUAAGCUUCUAAUGGGAAGAAUUUUUAUUGAGUAGUGACUUCUCUGUUAAUCAAAGAUUACUGAUACCUACCAUUCUCACUGUAAAACUAUCAAUGGCUACAGUCUUUGCAGUUUAAAGGUACAAGAGAAUGUAGACUCAAUGCAGAAAAGAGGUGAUGAAUACAACUGAAGAACUUAAGGGACCAUCUGGGCUUUUUAUUGACUGCAAAACUGGAAAUACUAAUAUUUUUUGGUACUUCAUUCCAUAAAAGACACAAAACUAUGCAUGUAAGUAAUAGAAAUGUAGCAGAAGAGAAACCUCUUUAUCUAGCUCAUCACCUUUCAGUGACAUAAGCUUAAUAGCAGAUGUUCAUCCUUUAUUCUCUAAGCAUUUUCUAAAUACUUCCCUGCCCAUUCUGAUGAUGAACACAGAACGCCUCUGAAUUAGAUAUUUGUUUAUUAUUUAUCACUGGAGUAUUUUUACCAACCUUGAUGUUAGAGAGCUGUUGUCAUGUUACCUGUGGGAUUUCUCUUUUCUAGACUAACCCUCAUGAAUUCCUGCAGCUUUGCCUUUUAGGUCAUAUUUUUAAAACCUGUUACUACAGGUUUUCUUUUUUAUGUUCUCUUAAGAACUCUGUGAUUGCUUUUGUCUGCUUUAAGCAGACUGGCCAAGCUGCAGUCAGUGUUCUGGCUGAGCUCUCACCGGGAACACACAAAGCAAACCAAUUUGCUUCAUUUCAGAUUCACAAUAUUCCUGCUAGUACAGUCCUUAAUAAUUUUCCUGCAUUGUUGGCUCUUACUUAGGUUUAGUCUUGACAGCCAGAUUCUGUCCUGACGUAUACUGAUUGAUUGUUUCCCUUUGAAUUAUGCUCUUUAUUUCCCCUCCUUAUGGACACAUUUAUAAGGCAUAAAUGUCUUAGGGACAUUUCUCCUCCUUAUGCCUGGUCUUCAGUGCAUGCAUCUUCAAAUUAGUUCCUCUCGUCCAAAAUGCAUAAUAAAUCUCUCAAUAUGAUGCUUUGAUUGCAUUAUUUAUUUCAUUAGUCAAAUAAUUUACAGAGAUUAUGAUUAAAACAGUUAAAAAAAAAAGAAAAAGGAAAUAAAGAACAAUUUCAGGUCAGACCUCUGGAAGACAUCACUUAAAGUCUCUUAGUCUGAUAACAAGAAAUAGUUAACUUAGGAAAUUUUGAUUGCAAUUCUGCAAGUCCUUUCAGUUCACUGUACUUUUACAGUACCAAAUGCCUCACAAAGGCCAAAGUUCGUCAUGUCUGUUGCUUAAACCAGUUAAGUCAGCUAGAAGGGUUGCUGUAGUCAGGUAUUUUUGAUAAAACCAGGCAUCGUGAAGAGUAUGAUGUUACUAUAGCUAUUUUAAGAAUACUUAGCAACCCAUCAGGUUUUGAAUAAGACUAAGUGGCCUGUGAUUCUCAGGUAUUCCUUUUACUGCUUAAAGUUGGUACUGUUUUCUCCUUCUUCAUUUGCAAACCAAGUGAAACUCUUCUCUAAAGAUCACUGUAACUAAAGAUAAAGUUUUCAACUUCAGCUAUAAGUGCAUACACCUGUGUUUCUGGGGGAGUUCCUUCCAGCUGUAGUUUUAUUCACCAUGCAGGCCCACUGAAUUUCUCAUCUAGCUGUGACUAGUUAGGUAUGCAUGCAUUCAGUCUCUUGCAGAAGCAUUUGUAUGAAAGAACUGAUUUCAGAAAAAAAUCAGCAGAGGGUCCAAAAAGUGUUAUAAAUUUAUCAAAAGAUCUGCCAUGGUUCCAAAAUCUCUUUUUGAAACAUAUUUCUAAAGAACUCUUACUGGAGAUGGAAAUUUAGUUAUACCCUGACAAAUGGGUAGUUUACUUGCUAAGGUUCCAUAAAUAAGGUUUCUGUAAAUAGAUGUAAGUGAAUAUGCAAGGUAUGGAAUGUAGAAUAUUUCCUUACCUGCUACAACCUAAAAUUACUCAGGAAAUGAACAAAAGCUUCCUCAAAACAAACAAACAAAGAAACCAAACAAAACCCAUGAGCUAUGACUACCAGCUACCAAGUGAUCCUUUCCAAGAUGAGAGAGUACAGAAUAUUUUGGAAGCCCUUACUGCAUGAAAGCCACAGUAGCAGCCUGGAUUAUAUAAUUUGGUCAUUGUCACUGAAUUUGUGCAAGCACGUAAAGUGGCAGCAAAGUCAGAAUCACAGAAGAAAAUGCUUAGGUCAACUCAAAGACCAAUUGAAAACGGGAUAUCUAAUGCAUGCUAAAAUUAUGGGUAAUGCCAGGUCAUAUUAUUACUUUAGAAUAGUGGGAAAGUAUGCACUUAAUGAGCUCUACUAAGAGCUGUGUGGCUUGAUUAUUGCAGGUGAAAUAGUUCAGCUGCUAACAAAUGGUGCAGACCUUUUUCAAAGGUCUUUUCCCUGGCCUUCCCUCCGCUCCUGCCUUCCUCAAGGUGUUUCUGAGCACUGCCUUACUUCUAGUGAGAAUCCUCAUGGCAGGCUGAUGCUGGUACAAGGUUAGACAGAAGACUCUAAGGUCAGGAUUGAUUUUGAAAUAAGUAAUUUCAAUGACUAUUAAGGUAAUCAAUACACAGCUUGGAGCAAGACAUCUAAAAGUAGCCAAUACUCUCUUCCACAUCAAGAAUUCAUCUGGAAUCUUACAAGACUGUUUUGCAGAUUCUCAUAAUGAGAAGUCAGACCUUCAGUGCAAGUUGCCUCAUUCCUCUAGAGUAAGUUGAUUUGUAUCAGUGUACACCAGCAGAAGAUUUAUACCAUGGUGCCAUGGAAAUGCUAAGUCGUAGCCUGAAGCAGUGAUUGCACACCUGGUGGGAAGGCAGGGCCAACCCAGGGGAGCUCAGGUGAACACAAUGCAGCUGAUUAGAAGGGCUGGAGCGGGGAUCCACCCUUUCCCAGACCUCAUGUAAGGGUGGCAGUGGAGGGGGAGCCUCUCUUGUUGGAGAUUCCUGCCUAUCUGAAGAUGUUACAGGCCUUCCAAAGGUGCCAGUCCACUAAUGAACAACUUCAGUACAUUGUGGGUGUUUUACAAUAAGCUCCCACUUCUCUUUGUUGGCAUUGUCAACAAAAAUAAUGAAAAGUUACUUCAGCAGUGAGAUUUGUCCAAGAAAUAUGGAGAGAAUCAAUAUCAGAUGCAGAAAGGACAAGACAAUGGAAUUAAAACAUUCAAAAUUCUUUUCAGCACUUCCAGAUGCCGAUAGCAGAGACGUACUGACAUGAAAACCUCAACAAAAAAGUUGUAUCUACCCCAUCUACCUCUGUGAUGACAGAAUCACAGAAUGGCUUGUGUUGGAAGGAACCUCAAGGAUCAUGAAGCUCCAACCCCCUCGCCACAAGCAGGGCCACCAACCUCUGCAUUUAAUCCCAGACCAGACCACAUUUAAUGCCCAGGGCCCCAUCCAACCUGACGUUGAACAUCUCCAGGAAUGAGGCAUCCACAACCUCUUUGUGCAGCUGUUCCAGCACCUCACCACUCUCAUAGUAAAGAAAUUACAGAUUAUGAAGUAGUGGUUCCUGUGUGUAUCUGCUGUGCUGACCUCACCUAUAAAUGACUCUGCAGUGGAAAAGAUUCUUCUGUUCCCAAAAAUAUAAAUUACUCUUUAGACUAGGUUUUGCAUUCAAGCUAAUACAAUGGUGUUACUCAUAAGAGUGAAAUUAUUUGUGUUCAUACACGUUCCUAGAAUUAAUAUGUAACAUCUCAAAUCAGAUCUAACAGGAUGAAAAUGCGGAAUUUUGGGGGUCCAAUUUUGAGUAUGUAUCAAUCACAAAUUAUGAUUCUGGAAAAAAAAGUAGUUGUAACUAUGAGGUUAAUUAUAGUAACUAUGAGGUAGAUUACAUGCAGUCAUCAAAUAACAGUUUUGUUACGCAAUGAGUAUCUGUCUUUGCAGUUAUAACACUGCAUCAUUUCUUAAAGUUAGUAUUAUCUUGUAACUUCACGUUGUGUUUUAAUUGCCUACUUGAAUUUGCUGUGCUUUAGUAGUGAAGACUUGCUGAUUAGUAUAUUAAUUGUUUUUAAGUGUUAAUGUAAUGCUUGGGACUUAUUUAACUUGGAUAAAUUGUGGGAUCUUUUUUUCUCUUUUCCUUGUUUUCUUUAAGAUCUCAGCACAUAUAUCGGUCGAAUCUCCCUAUGAACUCAAAUACCUGCUCUUAGAUAAUGGCUAUUAGACUUACGCUGUAAAGCUAAUCGCAGCAGGUGCCAUCACAGGACAGUGGGACAGUAGUGAACAUCCUUCCUAGUCAGUGGUCUCUGAUGUCAGACCCAGACUUUAUCCUUCUUCUACUGUGCUUUUUCAGGUGAUGUUUAAAGCCUGAUUUGGCUGAUUAGUGCCAAUGUAGUUGAUUAAAGUUGCUUAUUGUUUUAGUCUGUCAGCAGUGUGAAUGUCAUGCAUCUGCUUAGGUAGGAGUAGUGGUGAAUUGAAAGGUAAGAGCUAUGUCUGAUUUCCAAUAUGAGCUGUUUUAGCCAACCCCCAUCUGAUGGGAAGCCUGUACCACUACAGGACUCAAGCUGUGCCUUUGUACUGAUCUGCUGCUCCUCAAUUCAAGAAAUACUGCCUCAAAAUAAAGCUGUUUGUCUUAUGUCAAGAGAUGAUUUCAUAUGCUCUCAGUGGUAGCUUAAGGAGAACUUUAAUCACUGCUCUAUACUAGGUUUUCAUGUGUUUUGCUUUGAUUGCUUUUAUAUACAUACAUUAGUGAAAUGGGGCAGGAACAGAGGAAGUUUUUGUUACAUUCUGACGGUCUUUGACAGGUCCUGGAUGUAUUGGGACUGUCUCCUCAACCAAGGCAGAACCCGAGUUACACAAAGGAAAGCUGUAUUGGACAAUUGGUCUUCCAGCUGAAGAAGCCAUGCAGAAGCACAUGAUAUCAUGAACAUUAUUAUUAUUUCCCAGAAACUACUGAAAAAAGCAGUUAGUUUUGUCACAGACAUAAAUGUUCUGCUUGGUGUCAGUGCAACCUCCAUUGUUUGCAAAGGUGGUUACCUUGUGUGUGCAGAAGUCCUGCCCGCUACCAUUAGCCAUACCGUUAGCUGUUACAGGAGGCUCUGCUGGUCAGUCAUGGUGACCCAGUCUGGCCAUUUCUGAUAUUUAAUGUAAUUCUCAAGUUGUUGUAAAACUCCAUAAGAAAAAGCCAUGCUAUAAUGAACAGACGGAAAUAAAGCUUCCCUUGUCUAAUAGUGUUAAAAUAUAUAUAUGUAUCUGAAGAAGUAAGGAAAGUGUUUGUCAUCAGAAGUUUUUCAUAAGACUUUUCAUGAUCAUUGCAUUCAGUGUUCAUUUAUCAUUUAGAGAAAAAAAAAUUCAGUAAUUAUUUUCAACCAAUAUAGGAAGAGAUUGAGAGCAAAUAUUAAGAUCAUUUGAGAGGACAAUUGAGGAUUUUAUUAUUAUUAUUUAGUAUUUCUCACAGUGCCUCUUAUUGCUAUCAUGUCUGGUCUUCUUUUUCUACGCUUAAAUAUUCAACACCUCUGUUGUUUUGGCAUCAACAACUGACUCUGUCAGUGUACAUAAGAAGCCUCUGAUCUCUUAUGCUACCUAUGCAGAUUCUGAAUCCUGAGCCAAAACUUGGUCAAGUCAGAGGGGGGGUGUUCAUACAGAGUCCUAGAAAAAUCGUUAUGGGGAACAUCUAGUAUAUCUCAAAUCGUGUAGAGGAAUCUGCUGAAACAAAGCAUGCUGGUACCUAGCUUAACUUGUACUUGUUAAUUAUUAGUGAUUAAUUUUUAAUAGCUAUAUUUUAUAGCUUGUGGUUGGUUAUGCCCCAAGGUAAUGACUUCUUGUGUCUCAUAUUCUGUUAUUUGAAGGACAUCAUUCAAUAUAGCAUCUACACAGCUUUGUUAAAAGCAUUUAGAUCUAAAUUUUCUGCAGCAAAGACACAUUUAUUAAAUAGUCCAUAUGUUUAUUACUGUUCACAAUGAUCAAAUCCUGGGAAAACAUUGCAGAAAGAAAAUAUCUAGCUUCCUACCUUAAUUCCCAUUAUUCUAUUGAUUAGAAAAGUGAAGAUUACAUGUAUUAUCAACUGUAUUAUCAGAUAAUCCAUAAUCAGAUGCCAUUUUAAUGACAGGCAUGUGCUUUUUGUGGUGUUCCCUGGUAAAGCAGUAUGAAGAAUUUAAUGACUUCAUUAAAAGAUACUGCAUAACAAAGAAAGGAAAGCCCAAUGCUAUUUAAUAUUAUCUUUACAAUGUAUUACAUUGUUGAAUUGGAUUUUUUGUUUUGCUUACUUGGUUUUUGCUGUUGUUUUGCAAUUUUAUGUUCUGUAAGUUGAACAAUAAAUGUGUGAUAAGCAAAGGAAAUGUUGAGAUUUUUGCAGAUAUGGGCAAGCAGUGUUAUGACAGGUAUGUUCUGUGUCCUUAAAGAAACAGCAAGAAUGGUUUGUACCUUAAGAUGAUGAAUCUAUAGCGGACUUUCAAAUUCUUUUAAAAAGCAAAAUAAUAAGGAAGGUUUCACUGUUGCAGAUUGUGCCUGGAAUGUUGGGGCUGGGAGAUGCCACAAAGGAUAUUUUCCUUUUUUUUUUUUUUUUUCCAUUAUUUUAUUUGUUUGUGUGGUAUUUCGGUAUUUUUUUAUUGCCUGUCCAAGCUGACUGUACUAGUACCGCUGUGUUCUCAGAAGUGGAUCUGGAUGAUUCUUUACUUUUUUACUGGAGGUCGGAUUUACUUUUUUUUAGGAAGUCAGAUCCUGUCAUGAAGAUAGACUGGAAGUCAGGACUUUCCUUCUUGUGUCACAGACCUUGUGUGGGCCUAGCCUGGACAGGGUGUUUGAUUCUCACUGCUGCAGUAUUCCGUGUGAAAUUUGAAGUUUUGAUUUAUUCUUUCAAUUUGUUUAAGAAUACAUGUAUUCAUCAUGUAUGAGAUACAGAGAUGUAAUACUAAUGGAUACCUGGAUACAGUCCAUUGGAACGGUGAGUUUUGUAUCUCAAUUAUUGCAAAGCCUAAAAAUAGUUAAUAUUUGAGAGCAAAAAACAAAAUCGAGAAAACUCUUUGUCUUAAAUCUGCCUAUUCAUGAUUUGUCUAAAAGCACAUUAGUUUUGGGAAACAAAACUGAGAUUGUCUGCUGUUUUAGAACUUAAAAAUCAGUGAAAAUCAGCUGUUAUCAUCUUGACUUGGAACUGAAUUUGCUUUGUAACCUAAAAAGGCUGUAAUUUUGUAAAUAGGUAAUAGUUGUGGUAUUGUUUGUAUCAUUAAUACUGUAUUGCAUGUGUUACGAGUGUUGAUGCUGCUAGAUCUCUCAGUGGCUCAGGUUAGUGAAAGCUAUUUAAAGAAGUCUCUGAUGCAGAGAUGCCAUUACAUUUGAUAUCUUACAUUGUGAUUUACAGGUUUUUAAGGCUUUGUUUGAUGUUGAUUUUGGUUUUUUUUUUUUCAGAGCUCCUCUCCAGUGGUUCUCUGUUUGUUGAUCUGGCAAAGUCAUUUAAAUGAAAGUUCACAGUGCCAGAAUAUGGCUUAGCAAUUCACUGAAGCCACUAGAAUUGGGUUUUAUUUAUUUUAUUGUUUUAUUGCUGUCCUGCUCUGCUUGAAAUUCACCCAUUUAUGUUUAAGUAUGACAACAUAAAGCAAGUAGUAACAACUGUUUCUUUUUUUUUCAUUGAUCUGCGACAAAUUCUUCAGCUUA
ensembl:lncRNA